CAAAAAAUUAGCCAGAUGUGGUGGCACAUAACUGUAAUCCCAGCUACUCAGGAGGCUGGGGCAGGAGAAUCACUUCAACUCAGGAGACAGAGGUUGCAGUGAGUCGAGAUUGCACUACCACGCUGCAGCCGGGGUGACAAAGAUAAACUCCAUGUAAAAAGAAAGAAAAAGAAAAGCUAAGCGUGGACGUAAUUUCUUUGAGGUUUAAAGCUGCAAAGAGUUACUCUUCAUGAAGUAGGUUGGAUCCCAGCUGGGCAAUGAAAUGUGAGUGGGGUUUGGUCAGCUGGUGGAAGUUGAAGGAAAAUUAUUAACGUAGGUGACAGGUUAACACAAUCAGGUGUCUAGGAAAGAGAAUGAGAGAUUCAGAGUGUAAGACACCAGUUGAAGCUAUAACACAAGGAGGACAAGAUUCAUGUCGAAGGUUUGUAGGAAAUAGUGCUGGCGUAAUAUCUUGUACUCAAACAGUUCUGUGGGUUGGUGACAGAUCUUUUUUUUUUUUCUUUUUUCUGGUAGGUCAACUAUUAUGCCUGAAUAUUCAUCUAUCUAUGUAACUGGUUGAGAAAUAGGGGAGUAACAGUAAAGAAACUGUCUUACAAUAAAUCUGGUGGCAGCAGAAGAGAAUAUGAGACACGUUGCCCUCACAGCCUUGAGAGUGUGACAGUAGUUGAGGGCCACGCUGUUGUCUUAGAGUGAAGGGAGGAGAACCUACGUUGGUUUGGUAGUCAUGGAGGUGGAAGGAGGAAUGAAAUGUGAAAGCCCAUUGGCAGCAGAAUCAAAAUGGCUUGGUCUUUGUAGUCCACUAUUAAGUGAGGAGGAGGAAUUAUUGGCUGACUUAGGAAGAAGUAAAAAAUGUGAAACACCAAUAAAAUGCAAAGCUUGUGAUUUUAGUCAGGGUAAAACUUAAGCAUUGUGUGAUUCUAGAUAGAUUAUUGAGCAGUUUUGUUCCAUGUAUUUUAUAUCCCAUAUCUUCUAGCUAUGACCCUAUUUCUUUAUUUCUUGACAUAGCCAAACAUUUUUCAAACUGACAGCUUUAUUGUGAUACAGUUUUUAUGUGAUAAGCCUAACCCUUCAAGUGUACAGUUCAGUGGUUUUUAGUAUAUUCAGAUUUAUGCAACCAUUACCACUACCUAAUAUCAGAACAUUUUCAUCUCCCUAAAAAGAAACCCCGUACCCAUCAGUAGUCAUGUACCUGUCUCCCGCAUGCUUCAUCCUGGCAACCUGUGAUCAAAUUUCUAUCCCUGUAGUUUUGCCUGUCCUGGACAUUUCAUAUAAAUAGAAUCAUACAAAACGUGGCAUUUUGUGACUGACUUUUCUUUACAGUGAUUAUAAAUCAAAUGCCUGAAGAGGCUAAGCCUAGGAUAGUGUUUGCUGUACAACUUUGACAACUGAACUUUUUUAUAGUUGAAAAUAUGACUGUGUCUGUAUAUGUGGCAUAUUAUCUUAGAUGACCCUUACUUGGAUUAUUAAGAAUUUUUUCUCCUAGUGUUCUUGAACUGUCUCAAUAUUCAGCAGGAACCCUUUGGAGACAAAGAGCAGUAAGAAUGUGGAACACAUAUUGACAAAAUGAAGGUAUGUAUUGGGUGGAGGAGCAUUAUGUAUGGAACUUCUCACAAAACAGACUUUUUAACACUGAUCUGCUGCUGUUGAGGGCUGAAGCAGUGCCUACUCAAUAGAACCGGUCAUCGUGCAAAGAAAUGCCACCUGACUCAAAGGCAAAGCCAGAGUGCAGCUUGGAGCAAAG